rnacentral:lncRNA from 1 species
UCGGAACUAUUUAUUCAAAGAUCGUCAUUGAUAGAUUUUAGAAACUCCUGCUCUUACUCUAAAUUUAGCUUCUUCAAGAAUAGCUUCUCAUGAGUUCUUCAGAGCUCUCUAUGAACUUCUUAUUCAGAUUUAUAAGCUAGCUUAAGAGUGUUUAAUUAUUGAGUUACAUGGUCAGUUUACUUCGUUGCAUUUACAACCAUAUAAUCUUGAAUUUUAGCAAGUUCCUUAAAGCUAACAUCACUAGUUCUAUCAUUGAGGAAAUCAUCAUCCCCUAGCAAGUCAUCCUAAUCACUAAUGAAGUCAAUGAAUUCGGGGUGAGUUACCUUGGGGCCUUUAGCCAUCAAGCAUCUCCCAAUUCGUUCUUUUGGUGAAUUGAAUGAAUCAUAAGACUUGCAGUAUAUGAGAGCUAGUUCGACAACACCUUCAUCUUGACUAUAGUGAGACUUUGAGUGAUUGCUUCUCUUGGAUUGGUUGUCUUCUUAUUGUGUAGCUUUUGGUGGACUCGUUUUCCUCUCUAAAUCCUUGUUUCUCUCUCCACAGGGUGACUCAUCUCUUCUACUCCUUAUUCUUGGUGACACAUCUACUUUGUCGAGAGGUGUCCUACACUAAUUUAAGAAGUGUCCGGGUCGUCCAUAAUUUUUGCAAUUGGGUCAUGACUCAAAGAAUAAUUAUUCUCAUUGUAUCUUGAGUUGGAGCUUCUCUCUAUGCCUUCAUGCGUGACUGUCCCUCCCAUGUUCUAACCCUCUGACCGGCAGUAAGACUGCAAUGACCUGUGAAGGGCGGCAUGAUGAAACAAAAUGGGUGAGAAAUAGGAGGGAGGGCGAUGAAAUGAGAUUGGAAGGUGGGAGAAAUCCAGUCUAGACAAAAUGUGAGAGAAAUAGGAGGGAAUGAAACAAAAUGCAACAAGUAAUUAUAAGACUAACUCACUUGUACUCCCUCUAUUUUUAAAUAUAAGACCUCUUGGAGAUUCUGAUAUGAACUAUAUAAGGAGUAAAAUGAGUAAAUG